GCUCUUUGAAAUGUCCGGCGCCGGAAUGUCUGGGUGCUUUGGUUGGAGAGGGUCCCAUUUCCAGUCAUUCUUCAGCCUGGUGAUUCCCGCGCUCCCCUGAGGAGCAUAUGAAAAAUUAGGAUUACCGAAAAUACUGAAGAAAGACUACCUCUGAUUGGACUCUUCUCAAGGAAUUAAUAAUUCAAGAACUAAGGAAAGAAAAAAGUGAUUAUAUGAAAAUACUGAAGUUGAUCGUAGCAGCUGAAGGCUGAUCCUGUGCUGAAGUACAUUGGUGCAAUCUUGGCUCACUGCAUCUCCACCCCAGGUUCAAGCGAUUCUCCUGCCUCAGCCUCCCAAGCAGCUGGGAUUACAGGUUUUGCCUUUUCCAGAAUGUCACAUAAAUGGAAUCAUACUGUGUCCGGAAUUGGUGGGUUCUUGGUCUCACUGACUUCAAGAAUGACGCCAUGGGCCCUCGCGGUGAGUGUUACAGCUCUUAAGGUGGCGCGUCUGGAGUUUGUUCCUUCUGAUGUUCGGAUGUGUUCGGAGUUUCUUCCUUCUGGUGGGUUCGUGGUCUCGCUGGCUCAGGAGUGAAGCU
rnacentral:lncRNA from 10 species